ACCUUCGGGAGGACGCUUACCACUUUGUGGUUCAUGACUGGGGUGAAGUCGUAACAAGGUAGCGCUAGGGGAACCUGGCGCUGGAUCACCUCCUUAUACGAUGAU
rnacentral:rRNA from 1 species